UACGUAGGGAGCAAGCGUUGUCCGGAAUCAUUGGGCGUAGAGCGCGCGUAGGUGGCCUCAUAAGUCCGCUGUGAAAGUCAAAGGCUCAACCUUUGAAAGCCGGUGGAUACUGUGGGACUAGAGUACGGAAGAGGCGAGUGGAAUUCCUGGUGUAGCGGUGGAAUGCGCAGAUAUCAGGAGGAACACCAAUAGCGAAGGCAGCUCGCUGGGACGUUACUGACACUGAGGCGCGAAAGCGUGGGGAGCGAACAGG
rnacentral:rRNA from 1 species